rnacentral:rRNA from 1 species
UACGUAGGGUGCGAGCGUUGUCCGGAAUUAUUGGGCGUAAAGAGCUUGUAGGCGGUUUGUCGCGUCUGCUGUGAAAAUCCGGGGCUCAACCCCGGACUUGCAGUGGGUACGGGCAGACUGGAGUGUGGUAGGGGAGACUGGAAUUCCUGGUGUAGCGGUGAAAUGCGCAGAUAUCAGGAGGAACACCGGUGGCGAAGGCGGGUCUCUGGGCCGAUACUGACGCUGAGGAGCGAAAGCGUGGGGAGCGAACAGG